AACGAACGCUGGCGGCAGGCUUAACACAUGCAAGUCGAACGCCCCGCAAGGGGAGUGGCGCACGGGUGAGUAACGCGUGGGAAUAUGCCCUUCGGUUCGGAAUAACACAGGGAAACUUGUGCUAAUACCGGAUACGAUCUACGGAUGAAAGAUUUAUCGCCGAGGGAGUAGCCCGCGUAGGAUUAGCUAGUUGGUGAGGUAAUGGCUCACCAAGGCGACGAUCCUUAGCUGGUCUGAGAGGAUGAUCAGCCACACUGGGACUGAGACACGGCCCAGACUCCUACGGGAGGCAGCAGUGGGGAAUAUUGGACAAUGGGGGAAACCCUGAUCCAGCCAUGCCGCGUGAGUGAUGAAGGCCUUAGGGUUGUAAAGCUCUUUCGCCAGGGAAGAUAAUGACGGUACCUGGAAAAGAAGCCUCGGCUAACUCCGUGCCAGCAGCCGCUGUAAAAC
rnacentral:rRNA from 1 species